rnacentral:miRNA from 1 species
UGGAUGAUGUAGUUUUGAUUG